rnacentral:tRNA from 1 species
GGUUAUGGCUCAGUGGUAGAGCGCUCGCCUCGCAAGGGCCUGGGUUCGAUCCUCAGCACCA